rnacentral:rRNA from 1 species
CCUACGGGAGGCAGCAGUGAGGAAUAUUGGUCAAUGGCCGGAAGGCUGAACCAGCCAUGCCGCGUGAAGGUCAGUGCCCUAUGGGCGUUAAACUUCUUUUGUGCGGGAGCAAUAAUGGUCACGUGUGGCCAGACGAGAGUACCGUACGAAUAAGCAUCGGCGAACUCCGUGCCAGCAGCCGCGGUUAUACGGGGGAUGCAAGCGUUAUCCGGAUUUAUUGGGGUUUAAGGGUGCGUAGGCUGUGAGGUAAGUCAGCGGUGAAAUGCCCCGGGUCAACGGGGUGAAGUGCCAUUGAUACUGGCUUGCUGGAAUGCGGAUGCGGUGGGAGGAAUGUGUGGUGUAGCGGUGAAAUGCAUAGAUAUCACACAGAACACCAAUUGCGAAGGCAUCUCACGAAUCCGCGAUUGACGCUGAUGCACGAAAGCGUGGGUAUCAAACAGGAUUAGAUACCCCUGUAGUC